AAGUCAUUGGGUUAUUAUAAAAACCUAAAGGCAUAAUUAACUUAACUAUAAUAAUUAAAUGGGAUCAAUUAUAUAUAUCACAUUGUGUUAUAUAUAUUCCAUCCCAAGGCGUUCUAUAUAGUUAUGCAUUAUAAUAUAUAUAAAAAAUUUUUUUUAUAUAAUUUUAAUGCCUCUAACUAGAGCGUACUUUGAGCAUAUAUGUUGUGACCCGAAAGAUGGUGAACUAUACCUGAUCAGGUUGAAGUCAGGGGAAACCCUGAUGGAAGACCGAAACAGUUCUGACGUGCAAAUCGAUUGUCAGAAUUGGGUAUAGGGGCGAAAGACCAAUCGAACCAUCUAGUAGCUGGUUCCCUCCGAAGUUUCCCUCAGGAUAGCUGGUGCAUGGAAAUAUUAUUUAAAAUAAUCUUAUCUGGUAAAGCGAAUGAUUAGAGGCCUUAGGGCCGAAACGACCUUAACCUAUUCUCAAACUUUAAAUGGGUAAGAACCUCACCUUUCUUGAUAUGAAGGUUGAGGUUGUGAUAUAUUGUGCCCAGUGGGCCACUUUUGGUAAGCAGAACUGGCGCUGUGGGAUGAACCAAACGUGAUGUUAAGGCGCCAAAAUUAACAACUCAUACUGAUACCAUGAAAGGCGUUGCUUGCUUAAAACAGCAGGACGGUGGACAUGGAAGUCGUAAACCGCUAAGGAGUGUGUAACAACUCACCUGCCGAAGCAACUAGCCCUUAAAAUGGAUGGCGCUAAAGUUGUAUGCCUAUACAUCACCGCUAAAAUAUAUGAUUUAUAAUUAUAUAUUUUAUAAAUUUUGAAAUUUUAGUGAGUAGGAGGGUACAAUGGUGUGCGUAGAAGUGUUUGGUGUAAACCUGCAUGGAGCCGCCAUUGGUACAGAUCUUGGUGGUAGUAGCAAAUAAUCGAAUGAGACCUUGGAGGACUGAAGUGGAGAAGGGUUUCGUGUGAACAGUGGUUGAUCACGAGUUAGUCGGUCCUAAGUUCAAGGCGAAAGCCAAAAUAUUAAAAAGUUAUAUUAUUAUAAUAUACUUUUUAUAUUGAACGAAAGGGAAUACGGUUCCAAUUCCGUAACCUGUUGAGUAUACGUUUGUUAUUAAAAAUGGGCUUUAUAAUGCUCAUCCUGGUAACAGAAACAACCAUAAAGAAGCCGUCGAGAAAUAUCGAAAGAGUUUUCUUUUCUGUUUCAUAGUCGUACUACCAUGGAAGUCUUUCGAAGAGAGAUAUGGUAGAUGGACUAGAAGAGCAUGGCAUUUACUGCUGUGUCGAUAUUCUCUCCUCGGACCUUGAAAAUUUAUGGUGGGGUCACGCAAAUAUCUUAACAGGCCGUACCGAUAUCCGCAGCUGGUCUCCAA
rnacentral:rRNA from 1 species